GACGAACGCUGGCGGCGUGCCUAAUACAUGCAAGUCGAACGCAGUGGGGACGGGUGAGGAACACGUGGGUAACCUGCCAUCAGAGGGGAUAACACUUGGAAACAGGUGCUAAACCGAUACUGAUGGAUGGACUCGCUGUGCAUUAGCUAGUUGGUGAGGUAACGGCGCACCAAGGCCACGAUCCAUAGCCGUCCUGAGAGGUGGAGCGGCCACACUGGGACUUAGACACGGCCCAGACUCCUACGGGAGGCAGCAGUAGGGAAUAUUCGGCAAUGGACGAAAGUCUGACCGAGCAACGCCGCGUGAGUGAAGAAGGUUUUCGGAGCGUAAAACUCUUUUGUUAGAGAAGCGGUAUCUAACCAGAAAGCCACGGCUAACUACGUGCCAGCAGCCGCGGUAAUUC
rnacentral:rRNA from 1 species